rnacentral:rRNA from 1 species
GGGGGGGGCAAGCGUUGUUCGGAAUCACUGGGCGUAAAGGGCUCGUAGGCGGCUUGCUAAGUCUGACGUGAAAUCCCUGGGCUUAACCCGGGAACUGCCUCGGAUACUGGAUGGCUUGAGUUCUGGAGAGGGAUGCGGAAUUCCGGGUGUAGCGGUGAAAUGCGUAGAUAUCUGGAGGAACACCGGUGGCGAAGGCGGCCUCCUGGGCCGACGCUGACACUGAGGAGCGAAAGCCAGGGGAGCAAACGGGAUUAGAUACCCUGGUAGUCCUGGCCCUAAACGAUGAAUGCUUGGUGUGGCGGGGAUCGAUCCCUGCCGUGCCGGCGCUAACGCAUUAAGUGUUCCGCCUGGGGAGUACGGUCGCAAGGCUG